rnacentral:snRNA from 1 species
GGGUUGACUCGGCUGCUCUGGCUGGCGAGGCGGGCCAGGGUUGACUCGGCUGCUCUGGCUGGCGAGGCGGGCGUCCCCUCCUCCCUCACCGCUCCACGUGCGUCCCUCCCGAAGCUGCGCGCUCGGUCGACUGAGGAGGACCGGUCUUCGGUCACGGGUAUACGAGUAGCUGCGCUCCCCUGCUAGAACCUCCAAACAAGCUCUCAAAGUCCACCAAAAUGACAGAAUUGCUGAGCCCAAAGAUACCCACU